rnacentral:hammerhead_ribozyme from 1 species
GCUUUGGUGACGAGUCCCAAACAGGACUAAACAGCUGUCCAUUGC